rnacentral:lncRNA from 1 species
UGCAGAACCUGAGGAGCCAAGCACACAGACCAUCCAAUUCAUUCUUUGACUUCAUGAGACCCAGAUCAUGCUGUUGCAAAAGCACAUGGUGGGGCAGCCUCCUUAGAUGGACCUGGGUUUCAGUGCCAUCACCAUGCUUGGUAACCAGUGAGGUUGGCCUGGCUCCUUAACAUAUCUGAGACCAUUUAGUCCUCCAUGAAACACAAGAAGAGCUCACUUGAUCUAGUUCACAGGACUGUUCUGCAGCUUCAAGGUAACAGCAAUAUUGUUGCAUUUUAAAUUUGACUGGCUGCCAACAUACCUCGAAGUAACCUUAACUUAGUGUUCUUAUCAAUGGAACAGAGAGGAAAACAAGUUAACCUUAUAAUUCAAAAAUUUGCAAAGUACAAAAAAUGCUUUACACACACAAAUUAAAC